GAGCCUUUGAGAACAAGGCGGAGCGGGUAAAGGGCGAGCUCUGGGAUUUUUACAGGUGUGAUGAGGGAUACGAGGAGCGGGCGGCGAUUGUGGCUCACAAUCGAUGCGUUAAACUCAUGAA